rnacentral:rRNA from 1 species
GACGAACCGUGCGAACGUUAUUCGGAAUCACUGGGCUUAAAGCGCGUGUAGGCGGAAGGGCACGUCCGUUGCUGAAAUCCCCCGGCUCAACCGGGGAACGGGCACGGAUACGACUCUUCUGGAGGAACGUAGGGGGACCUGGAACUUCCGGUGGAGCGGUGAAAUGCGUAGAGAUGCGGAGGAACACCGAUGGCGAAGGCAUCCCCCUGGGCUAACACUGACGCUCAGGCACGAAAGCGUGGGGAGCAAACAGG